rnacentral:rRNA from 1 species
GAUGAACGCUGGCGGCGUGCCUAAUACAUGCAAGUCGAGCGAACAGAUGAGGAGCUUGCUCCGCUGACGUUAGCGGCGGACGGGUGAGAAACGCGUGGAUAACCUACCUAUCAGACUGGGAUAACUUCGGGAAAGCGGAGCUAAUACGGGAGGAUAUAUUGAAGCGUGGGGGGCAAUAGUGAGAGACGGUUUUGCGGGCACGACUAGAUGGAUACGAGCCGCAUUAGCUAGUUGGUAAGGUAACGGCCUACCAAGGCAACGAUGCGUAGCCGACCUGAGAGAGUGAUCGGCCACACUGGAACUGAGACACGGUCCAUACUCCUACGAGAGGCAGCAGUAGGGAAUCUUCCGCAAUGGGCGAAAGCCUGACGGAGCAACGCCGCGUGAGUUAUGAAGGUCUUCGGAGCGUAAAGCUCUGUUAUUAGGGAAGAACAAAUGUGUAAGUAACUAUGCACGUCUUGACGGUACCUAAUCAGAAAGCCACGGCUAACUACGUG